GGGCCCGCACAAGCGGUGGAGCAUGUGGUUUAAUUCGAUGAUACGCGAGGAACCUUACCAGGACUUAAAUGUAAGUUGCAUGAUUCAGAAAUGAAUCUUUCUUCGGACUACUUACAAGGUGCUGCAUGGUUGUCGUCAGCUCGUGCCGUGAGGUGUCAGGUUAAGUCCUAUAACGAGCGCAACCCCUAUCGUUAGUUGCCAUCAAGUAAAGUUGGGAACUCUAGCGAAACUGCCGGUGCAAACCGAGAGGAAGGUGGGGAUGACGUCAAAUCAUCACGGCCCUUACGUUCUGGGCUACACACGUGCUACAAUGGCCGGUACAGAGGGCAGCCACACCGCAAGGUGGAGCGAAUCCUUAAAAACCGGUCUCAGUUCGGAUCGGGGUCUGCAACUCGGCCCCGUGAAGCUGGAAUC
rnacentral:rRNA from 1 species